rnacentral:tRNA from 1 species
ACGCCUAUGGUGAAGCGGUUAUCAUGCUUGCCUUCCAAGCAAGCGGCAGGGGUUCGACUCCCCUUGGGCGUA